GGAGAGAUGACCGAGUGGCCGAAGGUGGCGCCCUGCUAAGGCGUUAUGUGGGCUUAAACCUGCAUCGAGGGUUCGAAUCCCUCUCUCCGCCA
rnacentral:tRNA from 1 species